AUUUCACUGCUGGUCAUAUGCUCUCCAUAUAACCAAAUAAAAAUCUUGAAUCUUAAUAAUAAUUAUUAUUAUUAUUAGGUAUAGUAUUAUUAUUAUUUUACCUCUAAAAAUGAAAUCAUCUAUAUUACUGUUGUAAAAUAUAAUUAUACUGUAAAAUAAACUAAUAUUUUACAAUAAUUAUAGUCAUUUUUAUUUUACACUACAUGUGUCACGGUUGCUACUGUGUUGGAACGAAGAAGCACGGAGACGAAGAACUUGACCAUUUCAACAUUGACGUUUAACACGGGACAAGGAAACACAGGGCAGACAACUCUAAGUACAGAACUAAACGAGGGGUAACAGAUGAGACCCACCUGAAUCAAAUGAGCACGAUCAGAACACGGGAGAAACUGGGUAACUGGGAGCACAUGGGGAACAAAACACAACACAGGAGCACAAGGACAGUCCAUGGGCGUGAGAUUACCUCCCCCUCCCGGAAGGCUCCCACACGCCUCAUAACUUCCAAUGGAGAGGGGGGGGGUGCGCUCUGGAGGCCUCUAGGGACAGGCUUACACGGUGACGGAUGGCCUCCAGAUUGGUACCCGUUCCGGGACCCAUGGCUGAGCAGGCAGUUCAGGAGGCUAAGGCAGGGUGAAGACAGUUCAGGAGGCCAAGAUGGUGCAGGCAGUUCAGGAGGCCUCUCUCUGGAUUGGACGUGGAAACAGGAGCCUUCUCUGGGCUUGACUUGGGAUCUCAUGCCCUCUCUGGUCCUGAUGUAGGAACAACAGCCCUCUCUGGGCUGGACGUGGAAACCGGAGCUUCUCUGGGCUUGACUUGGGAUCUAAGGCCCUCUCUGGGCCGGACGUGGGAACAGAAGCCCUCUCUGGGCUUGGAAUGGACUCUGAAUUAGUUUGGGUUGUAUUGGAUUCAGGACUGAACUUGAAGAAAUGAGCGGACUCAAGAGGGUAAAGAGAUUGCUGAAGUCAUAGUAGGGCUAGGGAGAGCAUCGGCCAGUGAGCUUGACAUUGGAGCAGCCGGCAAACUUGACUAUGGAGCAGCUGGCAUUUCUGGGCUUGAUAUACAGUAGGAGCAGCAGACGGGCUUGAUUUCGGAGCGACCGGUGAUCCGGACUUCGGCGCGGCCGGCGAUCCUGGGCUGAGGACUAAGACAAAUCUUGGGACUGGAGUUAGGAAAAGGGAAGUUGAAAGGAGUGCGGCCCUGCCCAACUGGGACGUGGGGUCUGGGGUCAGUCUUCUGUCUACGGCCUCAGGGGGUACCCUGGAGGUGACAGGUUGCCGGAACCCUUGGUUAGGUAUGUGGGGGUUCCUGGCAUGGGGUGAGCUGGUGAGACACGGUGUGUUCCAGAAGGGGCUGGAUGAGGAGACUUUAAAUUCUCUUUAAAUUAGUUCUUCUACUUCGAAAUCGGAACCAUUUAAAUAGAGGACAAGAUUAAUCAGCUCGAUCAAGGGAAAAAUCACACGUGGGGAGAUCACAGCAGCUCAUAUCUUCAUCCAGCCCCAGCUGAAAACAAGCACCGAGUGCAGCGUCGUGCCAGCUCAUGCCAGCUCACCCAGACAGACAGCUUGAAGAAAUCCUCCACAUACCUCUCCAAAGGCCGGCCACCCUGCCGGAGACACCACAGCAGAUCCUCAGCCUCUGUGUUGGAACGAAGGAAUUUCAACUAGACAAUCUUUAAUUAGAGGGCAGGCUGGAACACAUGUUGCACAUUGACAUUUAACACUGGCAAGGAAACACGGGGCAGACAACUCUUUAAGUACGGAACUAAAUGAGGGGUAACAGACGAGACACAUCUGAAUCAAAUGAGCACAAUCAGAACAUGACAGAGACUGGGUCACGGGGACCUUCAGGAUUCAGGUUGACUUUGGUUUUAUGAACGUUUCCUUAAUAUCUCACAGUUAAUGCCAAAGUGGAAAUGUUGCUGUUUCCAAAACAUGUCUGAAGGAUCAGUGACUAAACUUGUUUUUGACUUGUGCAUCACUCAUUUAAAUAAAGACCUGCGUCCUGCGGGCUGGAUGUGGGCA
ensembl:lncRNA